UCAGGGCUGGCAUUUUCUGUUUCCCUCCAGACUCUUCUUGCCAACUGGAUUCCAGGAAGGACCAAAGAGCCUUUUCUAUGCAACCAUUUUGAGGGCUGAAGCAGCCUGACUCCUCCUCACUCUGUCCAGAGUGCCUGGCUCACUCUGUCAGGCCAAGUGACCAGACAAGACCACAACGAGCAGCACAAGGAGGUGGUGGAAGUACAAGUCCGAGAUUCUGGGCAAAAACUGGUUUCUGCUGGCUGAUGGUUGACAUUGAAGUGUCCUGUGGUGGUGGUGGAAGAGCUGUGUUGGCUCGAAAUCAAUGUCAGCAGACGUUUCAUUGCCAUUUUAUCAGCCCUUUCUGCAUGUCACUGUUUUCUUGGCUGCCCUGAUUGUCCCUCAAAAUCGUCGGUGGGAGUCAGAAUUCACCUGGAGGGCAAAACCGGGCAGCCCACACCUGGCCCGCGGCAGGAGCUGCUUGACAGAACCAUGUAGAAGCCAGCAGGAUGGGAAAUUGGGCUGAGGCCGCCAGAACACCAGCAGAACCUGUGGCAUUGCACAAAUUUGACUGUCAGAGCUCCAGCUCUCCUUGAUUCCGUCUCACAAACAACUAAAAUCAAGGCUUUUCUCAAGAACUUCUGCUAAAAAAAAAAGCUGGAAGUGCAACACAAAAUGUAAAUAGCAUUCACAUUUUCUGAAAAAUCCCUUCACCCGGGAUUUUUCUCCUGGGAAGCUGAGAGGUCUCAGAGAAAAAGGAAAACAAUAGUGAUCUGAUUUGCUUCUCCUGUGUUGUGCUCAUGUGGAAUGUGUUUGGGGAUUGUUUACCCACAGGUGGUUGUUUUAUUUGGUUUCUGUGAAUUGUUUUGAGUGCCAAGCUGUGUUGGGACUCUGGAGAUGGUCACAAGUUUCAUUAUUAUCUUUUUAGCCUUCUGUCUGUAC